rnacentral:rRNA from 1 species
CGCGUAGGCGGUUUAUCAAGUCGCAUGUGAAAUACCAGGGCUCAACCCUGGGAGGUCAUGCGAAACUGAUGGACUUGAGUGCAGUAGAGGAAAGCGGAAUUCCUGGUGUAGCGGUAAAAUGCGUAGAGAUCAGGAGGAACACCGGCGGCGAAGGCGGCUUUCUGGGCUGUAACUGACGCUGAGGCGCGAAAGCGUGGGGAGCAAACAGGAUUAGAUACCCUGGUAGUCCACGCUGUAAACGAUGAAUACUAGGUGUAGGGGACGCAGGUCUUCUGUGCCGGAGCUAACGCAAUAAGUAUUCCGCCUGGGGAGUACGGCCGCAAGGUUGAA